UUGUCAGGAUCGGGAGAAUCCGGCGGGGGUCACUCACCUCGGAGCCGGUGCCGAAGGAGCAACCGCCCCGGUAAACUCUCAGGCGACAGGACCGUCCUGGCAG
rnacentral:ncRNA from 2 species